AAGAGAGCCAAGACAAAGAAGCUUUCAUCCAUUUCUAUGCUCUACUAACAACCAUAAUAAAUUGGGCAGUGAGAAAACUGUAUCAGCUUUAAGCAAAGGCCAUCUUUUUUUCCUUUGCUGCCUAUAUAUAUAUAUAUAUAUAUACCAUUUCGUGGUUACUUUGAAAUGUUCUUCUACAGCUUCUUAUCAUAGAAAAACAAUGGCUGGUGCACCACCUACACAAAGGAUGUCAUGCUGUGAUCAGGUCCAGAAGCGCAAGGAGGAGAAAGGCUGCUUCUAUUCUUGUUUGUUUGCAUUUUUCUGCUGCUGCUGCUGCUAUAAGACUUGUGAGCCUUGCUUAAACGGCGUCUGCUGUUGCUGCCCUUAGAUCUCUAUACUUCAAAAUAUGUGCUA